UUUUCUAUUUCAAAAUAAAGCUUCAAAACCUCAUGAAAUCAUUUGUUAUUAUAACAUCAAAGAGUAGAAAAAAAAAUAACAAAGAAGUCGUUCGGCGCCAAGAUAGCAAAAAAAAAAACUGAAGAUAAUAAACCGCCGGUAAACCUUUCCGACCCACCGGAUCUCUAAAAAAAAACCGUCACUGAUUCGCUGGAAACGGUUACAGAAACCGCUGCCGGUUAAGCAGCCCGAGCGUCGUCGCUGCCGGUGAUGAUGAUGAUGAGGAUGAUUGUAGCGCUGGUUAACCGGAUUAUGAGUGGCCGAUGAUUGUAUGUGUUGUGAUCAGUGGAUUGUUCCACUCCUACACUUUGCAAGUUAGAACAAUGUUUUGAUAUGAUUUCCGGUAAACCUCGGCGGAGAGUCUCGUGCUGAUAACGUGAUAUGAAACCACUGGUGAAAUCUGUAUUGAAUCUUCAAUCUAUAUGUUACAUAUCAUACAAAUGUGAUUCAACUAAAUAACAACAUACAAUAGUAUAUAUAACGUACGUGUGUUAAUUGUCAAAACAUUUAUGAGAGGUUAACUGCCAAGGCAGUUACAACAGUUAUGAGAGGUUAAAUGCCAAGGCAGUUACAAGGGGUGUUUUGUAUAUCUGUUUUAUGACAAAAUUUAAUUUUUGAAAGUUAUUAUCAUUACUAGUAACAUUUAAUAUGAGAGAGAGAGAGACAUUCAACAUGAGAGAGAUAUUUAAUUGGAUGAGAUCAUAACAAUAUGAUACAUGACAGAGUGGCAUAGGAACUUGACAAGUGGUAAAAAUUAUUUUGAUUUAUUAGGUAGUAAGAUAGGAAGUGGGAUGGGAUAAUUCAUAAAACAAAUAUAUUAUGUAAACUCUUGGAGAUAUCUAAUAUGAUUAUAUAUGUAUGUACUUACGUAUGAUGCAUGGAUGUAUGUACAUACAUAUGUAUGUAUCUAUAGGGAGAGGAUCGUGAGAAAACUCUAUCAAACGAUCAAGAUUUGCGUUGAAUAUUUUUGAGGGUUUAGUUUUUAGAAUUUAUGAUUUAAUUUUUAGAGGUUAGAGAUUAACUUUUAGGUUUAGAUUUAACAUUUAGAUUUUAGCUUUUAGGCAUUACCCUUCGGGGUUUAUCUUUUAGGGUUUACUCUUUUUUGUUUAUUUCUUAGCGUUUAGGGAUUAGGGUUUAGAGCUUUCACAUCCCUUCUACCAAAUUGUGUGAGUGGGUUUUUAUAUUAUAAAAAGUAUAAAAAAAGAGGUUGUGAGUGGAGAAGAGAGAAAAUGUUAUUGUCCAUCUAUAUAUUUGACAGGACAUUGUUCACCCUCUAUAAUAUUUUAAUAUAUUUUGAAAGAGGUUG
rnacentral:lncRNA from 1 species